AAUUGACAGACUGGAAAGUUAAAGAUGGAGGCACAACUUCCCAUCCCUCUCCUCCGAUGCGUCCUGCGUGCCUAACUCUUCAAAGUGCGUCAGUCAUGAGGCACAACAAAGAAGGGUGCAAAGGGAAAACUGGAAUCUAGCCCAGCACUGCAGUGAAAUCUACUUUGAUUUCUCAGUAGAAAUAAAAGAAAUAAAAGAAAACCCACAGAAAAGGGCCAUUAGAGGAGAAAACAUUUGUCACCCUGGACAGAAUAAAAGUCCAACCAAAUGAAAUAAAUGCCUGUGGAAAAAGACGUGUCGUUCUAGGAAAAAUACUAUGUUCCUUCUCCCUUGCUCUUCAUUGAGUUUUUGUCCACUCAAUGUACCGGGCUUUACCCUCACCCCUGUUUAUUUUUCCAUCUAUGAAAGAUGCAUGGAUCGAAUUCAGCCUUCGGGGUAGGAUUGAAGAACCGUACACGGGGCAUGAAGACAGGCGGCAACAUUGGUAUUUAAGGGAUGCCUCCCAGCACAUCAAGGGCCUGCAUGUAUAUGGGCUCUUUAAUUUGAACCACAGGCCUGCAGUUGGGAGAGAACUGGCUCCAUUUUACAGAUGAGAAAACUAAUGCACAGACUCCUGAUGUCGGGCUUAGAACCCAGGUCUGUAAAAGUCCAAAGGCUUCAUGGCUGGCUCUUUCCCUCAUUUCACUCUGUGGCCUAUGUGAUUUACAAAAUAUAUUUUUGUAAUUUUU